rnacentral:rRNA from 1 species
AGCAGCCGCGGUAAUUCCAGCUCCAAUAGCGUAUAUUAAAGUUGUUGCAGUUAAAAAGCUCGUAGUUGAAUUUCGGGAUCAAUACGUCGGUCGUGCUUCGGUACGUACUGGCGUAAUUGAUUUCUCCCUUCUGACGAACCAUGAUGUCAUUAACUUGGUGUCAUGGGAAAUCAGGACUGUUACUUUGAAAAAUUAGAGUGUUUAAAGCAGGCUCACGCUUGAAUACAUUAGCAUGGAAUAAUGAAAUAGGACGUUCGAUCCUAUUUUGUUGGUUUUUAGGAUCAACGUAAUGAUUAAUAGGGAUAGUUGGGGCAUUAGUAUUCAAUUGUCAGAGGUGAAAUUCUUGGAUUUAUUGAAGACUAACUACUGCGAAAGCAUUUGCCAAGGAUGUUUUCAUUAAUCAAGAACGAAAGUUAGGGGAUCGAAGACGAUCAGAUACCGUCGUAGUCUUAACCAUAAACUAUAGCCGACUAGGGAUCGGAUGAUGUUAAUUUUAUGACUCAUUC